rnacentral:rRNA from 1 species
GGCUGUGGCCAUGCCACCCUGUACGUGCCUGAUCUCAGAAGCUAAGCAGGUGGGACCUGGUUAGUACUUGAAUGGGAAAUCACUUACGAAUACCUAGUGCUGUAGGCA